rfam:Streptomyces yokosukanensis strain DSM 40224 genomic scaffold PRJNA299221_s049, whole genome shotgun sequence.
CUUCAACGAACCCAGCCACAACGGCUCCCCACCCGCACCACGCUCCUGCCCGUACGUCGACAACAGCGCCUGCACCUC